rfam:Rattus norvegicus chromosome 16, whole genome shotgun sequence.
GGGGAUUUAGCUCAGUGGUAGAGCGCUUGCCUAGCUAAGUGCAAGGCCCUGGGUUCGGUCCCCAGCUCCG